CAGUAGCCGCGGGAAUACGAAGGGGGCUAGCGUUGCUCGGAAUGACUGGGCGUAAAGGGCGCGUAGGCGGUCACGAUAGUCAGAUGUGAAAUUCCUGGGCUUAACCUGGGGACUGCAUUUGAUACUGUGUGGCUUGAGUGUGGAAGUGGGUCGUGGAAUUCCCAGUGUAGAGGUGAAAUUCGUAGAUAUUGGGAAGAACACCGGUGGCGAAGGCGGCGACCUGGUCCAUAACUGACGCUGAGGCGCGAAAGCGUGGGGAGCAAACAGGAUUAGAUACCCCCGUAGUCCCUGUCUCUUAUAC
rnacentral:rRNA from 1 species